UACGUAGGGGGCAAGCGUUGUCCGGAUUUAUUGGGCGUAAAGAGCGUGUAGGCGGCCCGGUAGGUCCGUUGUGAAAACUCGAGGCUCAACCUCGAGACGUCGGCGGAAACCCUCUGGCUAGAGUCCGGAAGAGGAGAGUGGAAUUCCUGGUGUAGCGGUGAAAUGCGCAGAUAUCAGGAAGAACACCCGUGGCGAAGGCGGCUCUCUGGGACGGUACUGACGCUGAGACGCGAAAGCGUGGGGAGCGAACAGG
rnacentral:rRNA from 1 species